UGAACGCUAGCGACAGGCCUAACACAUGCAAGUCAGGGGCAGCACAAGAGCAAUCUGAGGUGGCGACCGGCGCACGGGUGAGUAACACGUAUGCAACCUGCCUGUAAGCGGGGAAUAACCCGUUGAAAGACGGACUAAUACCGCAUAAUACUAAAUUACUGCAUGGUAAUUAUUUAAACAUUUAUGGCUUACAGAUGGGCAUGCGCAUGAUUAGCUAGUUGGAGAGGUAACGGCUCCCCAAGGCAACGAUCAUUAGGGGUUCUGAGAGGAAGGUCCCCCACACUGGUACUGAGACACGGACCAGACUCCUACGGGAGGCAGCAGUGAGGAAUAUUGGUCAAUGGACGAGAGUCUGAACCAGCCAAGUCGCGUGCAGGAAGAAUGUCCCUAUGGAUUGUAAACUGCUUUUGCAGGGGAAUAAAGUGCAUCACGUGUGAUGUUUUGUAUGUACUCUGCGAAUAAGGAUCGGCUAACUCCGUGCCAGCCGCCGC
rnacentral:rRNA from 1 species